rnacentral:rRNA from 1 species
UACAGAGGUCUCAAGCGUUGUUCGGAUUCAUUGGGCGUAAAGGGUGCGUAGGUGGCGUGGUAAGUCGGGUGUGAAAUUUCGGAGCUUAACUCCGAAACUGCAUUCGAUACUGCUGUGCUUGAGGACUGGAGAGGAGACUGGAAUUUACGGUGUAGCAGUGAAAUGCGUAGAGAUCGUAAGGAAGACCAGUGGCGAAGGCGGGUCUCUGGACAGUUCCUGACACUGAGGCACGAAGGCCAGGGGAGCAAACGGGG